AUCCAGCUGACAAGUCCCAAAUAAGAUGAAACAUGCGUCCUGGAU
rfam:Schistosoma haematobium scaffold675_4, whole genome shotgun sequence.